rnacentral:rRNA from 1 species
UACGAAGGGGGCUAGCGUUGCUCGGAAUCACUGGGCGUAAAGCGCACGUAGGCGGCUUACUAAGUCAGGGGUGAAAUCCUGGAGCUCAACUCCAGAACUGCCUUUGAUACUGGGGAUCUCGGGUCCGGAAGAGGUGAGUGGAACUCCGGAGUGUAGAGGUGAAAUUCGAUAGAUAUUCGGAAGAACACCAGUGGCGAAGG